UACGGAGGGUGCAAGCGUUAAUCGGAAUUACUGGGCGUAAAGCGUGCGCAGGCGGUUUGUUAAGUCUGCUGUGAAAUCCCCGAGCUCAACUUGGGAAUUGCAGUGGAUACUGGCAAGCUGGAGUACGGUAGAGGAAGGUGGAAUUCCCGGUGUAGCAGUGAAAUGCGUAGAUAUCGGGAGGAACACCAGUGGCGAAGGCGGCCUUCUGGACCAGUACUGACGCUCAUGCACGAAAGCGUGGGGAGCAAACAGG
rnacentral:rRNA from 1 species